UACGUAGGGUGCGAGCGUUGUCCGGAAUUAUUGGGCGUAAAGAGCUUGUAGGCGGUUUGUCGCGUCUGCCGUGAAAGCCCAGGGCUUAACCCUGGGUCUGCGGUGGGUACGGGCAGACUAGAGUGUGGUAGGGGAGACUGGAAUUCCUGGUGUAGCGGUGAAAUGCGUAGAUAUCUGCAGGAACACCCGUGGCGAAGGCGGCUGGCUGGACCGCAACUGACGCUGAGGAACGAAAGCUAGGGGAGCAAACAGG
rnacentral:rRNA from 1 species